rnacentral:sRNA from 1 species
GUUUCCACAUGGUCCCUAUUCUGGGCCUGGCUACUGGCUUCUGCACUUUGGUACAAAAUGACCAUUGUCACUCUCCAGGUUGCAGGCGCCCCACUGGUUACUGCAACGACCACUGCAGUGUCUUCAGUCCUGCUGGCCCCAAGUGUUUUCCAGCAGACAGUUACAAGAUCUUCGGACCUUGAGAGGAAAGCCAGCUCCCCUUCUCCUCUAACUAUUGGAACGCCAGAAAGUCAGAGAAAGCCUUCCAUUAUUCUCAGCAAGUCUCAGCUCCAGGAUACAUUAAUACAUCUAAUAAAGAAUGAUUCCAGCUUCCUCAGUACACUUCAUGAAGUCUACUUGCAGGUGCUGACCAAGAACAAAGACAACCACAACCUAUGACUGGAGCAGAAUAAGUCUAAAGGCAGAGCCCCAGCCUCAGAGACAAAUAGGCUUCAUCAUGGAAACUUCUGAGCAGAACAUUGAGUUUGAGAAUCCUGAAAUUGAGCCUAUGAGAAAGAGACUCAUUUCUUAAGAAUGUUUUCCAAGUGACAUUCUCAGUGAUAAUGGAGGUUUCACUGUGAAGCAUCACCAGCAGACCCUUGUUUUGACAAAA